UGCUGCGCUCUCGCGCGGUGCGCCCCGAGCGCUGCCGUUGUGCCGGGCUUCGUGUUGGGUGUUCUCUCAGGACGCCUUUGUACUUUCUGGACCUCCAGACUUAGUGCAAGAAACAGUGUUACCGUGUUAGCUGCGCAGGUUCUUUUCUAAGGAAUUUUGAAACAGAUUAUCUCUUGUGGACAACAAAAUACUACAUGAUCACUCAAAGCCAUUACCUGUGGGGGGGAGGAAAGAUUUGAUAAAGAGAGCUGACAGUCCAGAGAGAUGUCCACAUGAUGGUGAUUGGCUUCUGGGGAAACAAAGAAAUAAAUAAAAGAACACUUGCAAAACACACAAAUAGCAAGGCAUUAUGGAGGAAAAAAAAAUGGAAGACAAGUCAGAGAAACUCCAGGUUAUCACAGAAUCACAGAAUGGCCAGGGUUGGAAGGGACCUCAAGGAUCACGAAUCUCCAACACCCUGCCACAUGCAUGGCCACCGUUUUGUACAGCUAUGGUAGAGUUACAGAUGAGCAUUAAUCCAUACAUUUAUGCACACCUUCUACUCGAAGGAAAUUU